rnacentral:rRNA from 1 species
UACGGAAGGCAGCAGUGGGGAAUAUUGCACAAUGGGCGCAAGCCUGAUGCAGCCAUGCCGCGUGUAUGAAGAAGGCCUUCGGGUUGUAAAGUACUUUCAGUCGUGAGGAAGGUGUUAAGGUUAAUAACCUUAGCAAUUGACGUUAGCGACAGAAGAAGCACCGGCUAACUCCGUGCCAGCAGCCGCGGUAAUACGGAGGGUGCGAGCGUUAAUCGGAAUUACUGGGCGUAAAGGGCACGCAGGCGGUUAAUUAAGUUGGAUGUGAAAUCCCCGGGCUUAACCUGGGAAUGGCAUUCAAGACUGGUUAGCUAGAGUCUUGUAGAGGGGGUAGAAUUCCAUGUGUAGCGGUGAAAUGCGUAGAGAUGUGGAGGAAUACCGGUGGCGAAGGCGGCCCCCUGGACAAAGGGACCUGACGCGUCAUGUGCGAAAGCGUGGGGAGCAAAC